CCGGCUUUCCCUUUAGCUUUGUGGUUAAUGCCUUUGGCUCUUCCAAAAGAUAGAGGGGUUCGAAAGCUGGUAUGGUGGUAGUGGUGUGGUGGCGGUGAACUGGUUGUGGUGUUUGUUCCUUGAACUCCAAGGCCCAAAAGAAAAAGAAAAAAUAAAUAUAUCCUACCAAUGAGGUAUUCUAAAAUACCUCUGUUUUGUUUUUGCCUCAUUCCCUUCUCUUUUGACAUUGUGCAGAUUCUCCACAACUGAAUGUUUGAUAUUGCUGGUAUAAAGUCUCUGCAGGAGUUGGCUCUUGACAAUGGUGAGAACUGAGAAGAGAAGGGUCUACAAGACAAAGUUUUCCCCAUAUUUGCACUGCUCUGCAACCUUUUCAUGGUUAGAUCAGAGGGAUAUAGGAUGACACGGCUUCGAUAAUUCGAAAGCUGGUAUGGUGUUGGUGAUGAAGACGUUCUUGCUUGCUUUAAAUAUGAAACCCUGAAAGAAAGAACACAAAGCAUGACUAUAAUGAGGUUUCUAUGAAAUGGUUUGGAUUCAGAAGGGUAGAAGUUCGACAUUUUACAAGAGGUUAGCCUUUUUCAGUGUCCUAGAAUUCAGAGCUUCUGCAGAUCCAAAGGUUUUCUUCAGUAGGGCUGAAUGACCAAUACAUUUUCAAAGAUGGUCAUAUACCUUACACAACUUUGGAAGGCAUGAACUGUGUUUUUAAGUUCAUUGAUCUAAAGUAUAUCUGGCAUGAGACCUGAUGUUACAAAUACUUGUGUAUAGGCUUAUCGCUGUAUAUAGAUAAAAAUUUGCCUAAUCAAAGUUCACUGAAUUCACUCAUUGAGAAAUGCUUAUAUGGAAGCAUUAAUGAUGAUGAAUUACGUGGCCAAUAAUGGAUUAGUGAUAUCACUAAUCUUCAAUCAGUUUUUUUUUUCCUUAUGUUCCUAUAUUAGUAAUAGUGACAUCAUUCACUAUAAUUGGUCUUGACUACAAAAAGUUACCUUCUGGUAUAUGUCAUGUAAGAGAAAAGAAACAGUACAAUUUCCUCACAAGUUGUUGUAUCUUGAAAAUGUGUGGGGUUACUGAUUCCAGAAAAGGGUAUCUUGUCUGUACAGUGAUUUUGUUUUUACAAUUGCAUCUGGUUUAUUGCAAUGAGUAGCUAAACCGUACCAUAAUGGUUAUUUUGACAUUGAUCCAUGUGGUAAAUUUUGUAUUUAGUGUGCUCCAAUAUUUGCUGUACUUGGUUGAGUAUUGAGGGUACGUACUUUUCAAUGUUUCUUCAUAGACAGCAUUCAAUUUAGACUGCUGAAAGUUUACAUCUUGGAAAUGAACUUAUUCUUGAUUCACUUGUGUACAGAAUUCUGUUUCCUCCAGAAUGCAUGGUGGCUUUACAUUUUGUGUUUUGAACUUUUGAAGCUAGGAAAACUAUGUUGUGAACUUGUGAUGUUAUAUGAGAAAUUUCAAAAAAAAGGUUAUCCUGUUAAUGAUUUUUUGUUUGAAUUUCUUUUCGAACUAUGUGAUUCUAUUUCUGUAGUUCCAGGAAAUUAGAUUUUAAACUUAGAUAACCUUUUGUUUUGCCUAGUUGUAAGGGUUUUUUUUGAAUGUGUUGUUUUGGAGAUUUUUUUCUUCUGUUUUGUGCUUUCAACUUCAGGAGCUUCCUGAAGGUAGCUGGUAUUGUCUGCAUUGCACCUGUUGGAUAUAUGGUGAUUCUGCUGAUGAUAAAGAGGCUUCAAGCACUUCUGAUGGAUUUCAAUGUUCACAGUGCAAGCAAAAACUUUUUGUUAGACAUCUUUCUUGCACCUAAAUAGUUUUCAUUACCUGUAGAGAGGGCUUAAAGUUGUUUGUUGUGGACCUGUGCUAUGUACAUCAGAACCGACAGAGUUCUCUUCCAAGGCUUGACAGAGGGGUGGUAGUGGAACUCUAUUGAAGAUGUAUUUCCCAGGUCAGGCAUUUGCCAAGAAUCAUUAUCAACCCUGCCCUAUUUGGUGUCUUGUGAAUUGUGACAGUACACGUCUUUAGUUCCUUAUUCCCAACCUUUUGAUUUGAGUCUGUGUGGUUGAAGCGCAAGGUAUUUCAAUGCUUUGUUCAAGUCCUCCUAGCCAACACUCUAGUUGCUGUAUAAUACAUUAAACUGGUUGGCCUUUUGGCACUUGUUUCAUAGCCAAAGAGAAGUUCUGGUUAAGCUAGAUUAUACUGAGAAGGCCGUAAUUUCCAAUGGGGGAUGUUUCAUUUUAUCUUCUAGGAAAAAAACUAGCAAAUAUGCCUUGGUUUUUCAUGGCAGCACUUGUUACAUUUCAACCUCUGCAGACAAUGUAAAGUUGAGUACAUAGCAGCACUAGUUCUGCAUCUUCAUUCUAUUCUUUAGUGAUGCCUCCAAGCAUACAAAGUCCGAUCUUAAGAAUCAAAAAUGUGCUCAUUCGACAGUGGCAGAAAGAGCAAGGUCCAAAAUUUGCACUUGUCUUCCGAGUGUUGCCAGAUAACAAAGUUAUGGACACUCAAACCGUCUUUAACCACGACCCUUAAACAUUACUUUGGUGAUUUUUCUUUCUUUGAAUAUUUCCAACACAAUGAUCCCAUUACUAUAUACAUCUCCUUUUCUUGAAUGCUCAACACCAAUUGCAUGCUCUGCAACUCAGAAAGCAAUCGAGUUUCUAUGUACUAUAUACAUUCUCUAGAUGUUUAAUUAGACCGAUUUCAUCAUCAAUAUGAAAGCACAAGU